rnacentral:ncRNA from 2 species
CUGUUAGCGUACAUACUGGCUUGUAUAAGUUCAUGAUUGGAUGAGCGUUUCUACCAACUGCCGUAACAGUUGACUACAAGUUUUUGGGCUUGGCCC